rnacentral:rRNA from 1 species
GACAGAGGGGGCAAGCGUUGCUCGGAAUCACUGGGCGUAAAGCGCACGUAGGCGGCUUUCUAAGUCAGGGGUGAAAUCCUGGAGCUCAACUCCAGAACUGCCUUUGAUACUGGAGAGCUUGAAUCCGGGAGAGGUGAGUGGAACUCCGAGUGUAGAGGUGAAAUUCGUAGAUAUUCGGAAGAACACCAGUGGCGAAGGCGGCUCACUGGCCCGGUACUGACGCUGAGGUGCGAAAGCGUGGGGAGCAAACAGG